GACGAACGCUGGCGGCGUGCUUAACACAUGCAAGUCGAACGGAAAGGCCCUGCUUUUGUGGGGUGCUCGAGUGGCGAACGGGUGAGUAACACGUGAGUAACCUGCCCUUGACUUUGGGAUAACUUCAGGAAACUGGGGCUAAUACCGGAUAGGAGCUCCUGCUGCAUGGUGGGGGUUGGAAAGUUUCGGCGGUUGGGGAUGGACUCGCGGCUUAUCAGCUUGUUGGUGGGGUAGUGGCUUACCAAGGCUUUGACGGGUAGCCGGCCUGAGAGGGUGACCGGGCACAUUGUGACUGAGAGACGGCCCAGACGCCUACGGGAGGCAGCAGUGGGGAAUAUGGCACAAUGGGCGGAAGCCUGAUGCAGCAACGCCGCGUGCGGGAUGACGGUAAUGGGUAAAGAAGCACCGGCUAACUACGUG
rnacentral:rRNA from 1 species